AGAUUGAACGCUGGCGGCAUGCCUAACACAUGCAAGUCGAACGGGAGUAGCAAUACUCUAGUGGCGGACGGGUGAGGAAUACGUAGGAAUUUGCCCUUAAGUGGGGGAUAACCCGGGGAAACCCGGAUUAAUACCGCAUGACCUCGAAAGAGCAAAGUGGGGGAUCGCAAGACCUCACGCUUUUGGAGAAGCCUACGUCGGAUUAGCUAGUUGGUGAGGUAAUGGCUCACCAAGGCGACGAUCCGUAGCUGGUCUGAGAGGAUGAUCAGUCACACUGGGACUGGGACACGGCCCAGACUCCUACGGGAGGCAGCAGUGGGGAAUUUGGACAAUGGGGGCAACCUGAUCCAGCCAUUCCGCGUGAGUGAAGAAGGCCUUCGGUUGUAAAGCUCUUUGUCCGGAACGAAACGGUAGCGUGAAUAUACGCUGCCUACUGACGGUACCGGAAGAAUAAGCACCGGCUAACUACGUGCCAGCAGCCGC
rnacentral:rRNA from 1 species